GCCCGAUGAACCUGAAUAUCCGUUAUGGAAAAUUCAUCAUUAUAAUUGUAAUAUUUAAACAAUAUUAUGAUAAUAGUGUGCAUUUUUUCCAUAUAAGGACAUUGUAAUCUAUUAGCAUACAAAAUUUAUCAUAAAAUAUAACUUAUAGUUUAUUCCAAUUAAAUUGCUUGCAUUUUAACACAGAAUAAAUGUUAUUAAUUUGAUAAAGUGCUGAUAGAUUUAUAUGAAUACAGUGCGUUAAUUUUUCGGAAUUAUAUAAUGGCAUAAUUAUCAUUGAUUUUUGUGUUUAUUAUAUGCACUUGUAUGAUUAACAAUGCGAAAGAUUCAGGAUACUUCGGG
rnacentral:rRNA from 1 species